ensembl:lncRNA
CAACCACAGCAGCAGGAGUGGUGCUGCUCCCCUGGAAACACUUCCCACCUGGAUGGCCCCAGGGCCUGUGCCUUCACACCAUGCUGUCCUUGUGGAGCUGGUUGAGGGGCCUGCAGCAGGCACUGGGGAGAUCCUCUGGUUCCUGAGAACCCCAGUUUGCAAAGCCCCCUCAAACAACCCAGCUGAGGGUCCCCAGGGCUCUGCUGGCACAGGUGGCUCCAGGGGGACUGUGGUGACUCUCUGCAAGGGGAUGGUGUCACUUGGCACAGGCUGAAAUAUGUCUGUGGUGGGAAGCCAGGAGGUUUCGUGAUUCAUUCACUCUGACAUCAAUGUGGCUCAUGGAUGGAUCCAGGGUGGAUCCUGGAAGCAUCUUUCUAAGGAAAGUUUUGGACAAUGACGUCCCAGAUUGUGACAAUGGAUGAUGCCAUGUGGGACAACCUGUGCUGCUCUUUCCUGCCUCCUCCCCAUGUGAGGUUUCCUCACUGGAAAUGAUCCAUCAAAAGCUGCUACAGGGAAAGGGCUUGCUGCUAAGGAAAGAAGAGCUCAGCCUCUACUUCUUUGAGGUUUUAAGAGCAAAAUGCACCUGCAGAUGCAGGCUGUGGACAGCUCUCCUUUGCUUGUUUUAAACCUCUGGGAAACACCCCAGAGAAAUCCAAGGUGUUCAUCCUGGGGCACAGUUCCUCAGGACAGUUAUGUGCUGAACAUAACAACAUCCUUGGGGCAGGGAGCCUCGAGAUACCAGAUUUCUUUUGGGUUUGUCUGUAGCUCUUUGGCACAUGGUCAACUCCCCAAAACAGGGGUUUUCUCCGCCCCAGAGGAAGGAGGAACACUGCAGGAGGGAGGAGAAGGAAGGAGGAAAAUAGAAUCAGUCUGCUUUCUGCACAGAUUUACUGCUCGAUCAACUUCCCACGGCACUUCUGGGGUUCUGGACACGGUGUCACUUUGUUUCACCUGUGUCAAGACUUCUGGAAGGUUUUCAGAGCUGGUAGCAGGAGAGAGUUGGUGUCAGUGGCAACUCGGGACACGGGGCAGAGCAGCUGCUUGGGCCAAUUCACGCGUUUUAUUUGUUCUUUUUUUAGCUGUCAGGUUAAUACUUUGUCCUUUAUGAGCACAUCCUGGGCAGGGCCAUGCCUGGAGAAAUCUGCUCUGCACAGACAGGUCGGGUUUAGCCAAGGAAAGAAGAGGAGGUGCCUUCAGAGGGGUCACAGACAGCUCUGCCACGGCCGCUGCCAAGAGAGGUUCCCGCAGUGAAGGACCUGGAGGACAAUCCCUUGUUCCAGCCCUUCUGCAUGGCCAGAACAUUUCAGGUCCAAGGCCUCCCACCUUGCAGCCCCUGGCUCACCUCCCCUCACACAGGAACCAAGCCCUCAGUUCCAAGAAGAGGUGACAAAGAGAGGGAUGUUUCAUCCUUUUCUCCUCGCUUGCACAGGUGCAUUCCAGGGAAGUACUCCCGAGUCUUAUUCAUAACCAAUAUUUGUUCUUCUGGAAAUGUUCUUUUAUGUUGGGUCCCUCGUUGGUGUCUGGGCAUUUAUUUUGCUCAAAACCCAGAAACAAGGCACCACACAUUUGCAACCCUG